GUUUGAAAUUGGCGGUUACGCAGGAUGCGGUGUGUGGCUGCAUAAGAAUGACCAUCUCACCUAUCCUGCUCCAAUCAUCAUGCACAAUGUUUGGCCUUUGUGAGUGGAGACAAUAAUAAGCAAAAUAAAUAAGUCAAAUAUGCUAUGAAGAAAAAUGAAGGGGAAAGGUGCAGAGGAAGAGUUACAAUAUUAAAGUGGUCAAGAACAACUUCUUUGAGAGGAUGAUUUUUAACUAAAGACAAAUCUGAGAGAAAACCAUGAAGCUAAGCAGGAAAAUAACAGGCAGAGGAUCAGCAUGGGCAAGGGUUAUACGGUGAGUGGGAACCUGCCAUGUGCAAGAAACAGUGACUUUGCGGGCGCCGGGCAGAGCGGAAUGGUGGGUUCUGCUGGUUGGAGGCAUGGGGCCUGUGCGUUAAGAAAAGUAGCCAUGGAGAACACUGAAAACUCAGUGGAUGCAAAAUCCAUUAAAGAUUCAGAAACAAAGAUCAUAAACGCAAGCAAAUCAAUGGACUCCGGAAUAUCCUUGGAUAAUAGAUACAAAAUG
ensembl:lncRNA